UCAUUCUGGCCAUCCUUGGUGAGAUCCUAUUUGGCAUUAAGUUGUCGGGUAGGGGAUAACCAUCGUUUACUGUGAAAAAAUUAGAGUGUUUAAAGCAGGCUUAUGCCGUUGAAUAUAUUAGCAUGGAAUAAUAAGAUAGGACUUUGAGUCUAUUUUGUUGGUUUGCGAGUCAAAGUAAUGAUUAAUAGGGACAGUUGGGGGUAUUCGUAUUUCAUUGUCAGAGGUGAAAUUCUUGGAUUUCUGAAAGACGAACUACUGCGAAAGCAUUUACCAAGGAUGUUUUCAUUAAUCAAGAACGAAAGUUAGGGGA
rnacentral:rRNA from 1 species